UACGUAGGUGGCAAGCGUUGUCCGGAAUUAUUGGGCGUAAAGCGCGCGCAGGCGGUCUUUUAAGUCUGAUGUGAAAGCCCACGGCUCAACCGUGGAGGGUCAUUGGAAACUGGGGGACUUGAGUGCAGAAGAGGAAAGCGGAAUUCCACGUGUAGCGGUGAAAUGCGUAGAGAUGUGGAGGAACACCAGUGGCGAAGGCGGCUUUCUGGUCUGUAACUGACGCUGAGGCGCGAAAGCGUGGGGAGCAAACAGG
rnacentral:rRNA from 1 species